UGGCGGGAAAUGUCGUAACAGUAAACACAGGUGACCUUACUGACCGACCGUGGGAAAAUUCAUUCAUGAUUAAAUUUGAUGUGGAAUGAUUGACAGUAUUUUGUUUUAGUUUUGAGGCUCUUGAUCGAUUUACCAGAAUAGAAAUUUAAUCGAUUUACAUACAUGUAUAAUAAAAACACGAUUUAGUCUUCUUUAACUAUUUUUUUGUUUUAUUUUUAUCAGUCAUUUCCCGGAUUCCCAUUUAAAUAAUCUAUUUGAAGACCUCCUUUAAACUUCGGAAAUAAUACAACAUCGAUUUAAAAAAUCAAACUGACUGCGCGAGCUUUAAAAUGACUAGAAGUACGACGAAAAAGUAAAGACAGCUGAUCAUGACUAGUAGGAC
rnacentral:lncRNA from 1 species